rnacentral:rRNA from 1 species
CGUCCGCAGGCGGCUUUUCAAGUCUGCUGUUAAAGCGUGGAGCUUAACUCCAUCAUGGCAGUGGAAACUGAAAGGCUUGAGUAUGGUAGGGGCAGAGGGAAUUCCCGGUGUAGCGGUGAAAUGCGUAGAUAUCGGGAAGAACACCAGUGGCGAAGGCGCUCUGCUGGGCCAUUACUGACGCUCAUGGACGAAAGCCAGGGGAGCGAAAGGGAUUAGAUACCCCUGUAGUCCUGGCCGUAAACGAUGAACACUAGGUGUCGGGGGAAUCGACCCCUUCGGUGUCGUAGCUAACGCGUUAAGUGUUCCGCCUGGGGAGUACGCACGCAAGUGUGAAACUCAAAGGAAUUGACGGGGGCCCGCACAAGCGGUGGAGUAUGUGGUUUAAUUCGAUGCAACGCGAAGAACCUUACCAGGGUUUGACAUCCUGCGAACCUCUUAGAAAUUUGAGGGUGCCUUCGGGAAUGCAGUGACAGGUGGUGCAUGGCUGUCGUCAGCUCGUGUCGUGAGAUGUUGGGUUAAGUCCCGCAACGAGCGCAACCCACGUUUUUAGUUGCCAGCAUUUAGUUGGGCACUCUAGAAAGACCGCCGGUGAUAAACCGGAGGAAGGUGUGGAUGACGUCAAGUCAUCAUGCCCCUUACACCCUGGGCUACACACGUACUACAAUGCUACGGACAAAGGGCAGCAAACUCGCGAGAGCUAGCAAAUCCCAUAAACCGUGGCUCAGUUCAGAUCGUAGGCUGCAACUCGCCUACGUGAAGUAGGAAUCGCUAGUAAUCGCAGGUCAGCAUACUGCGGUGAAUACGUUCCCGGGCCUUGUACACACCGCCCGUCACACCAUGGAAGUUGGCCAUGCCCGAAGUCGUUACUCCAACCCUUGUGGAGGAGACGCCGAAGUGGGGCUAAUGACUGGGGUGAAGUCGUAAC